GUUCUCCUCUCCUCCUCCUGAUGAUAUAAAGUCCUCCUUUCCUCCUCCUUUCCUCCUCAUCUGCUGUGAUCACAGUCUGCAGGAGAGAACACAUCACAACCUGAUCUGAGACCAGAUUCACACCUUUAUUAACAUGAAGGCUUCACUAGAGCUGCUGUCGUCUGCUGACACCGGACCAAACGAUCGUCAUCUUUGUCCACAGGAGGCGCCAGAAUCGACAAAAAUUCAAGUUCCUCGUCACUUAAAGUAAAACUGUACAUGUACUUCGCAUAUUGUUGAAUUUUGUAUAGUUAUAAAUCUAUUUUCUACGUUGUAUGUUUUCUGUGUUUGAAGCUUAUACGAUUGUAGAUUGUAAAAGUAAAUUAUAUAUUUUACAAAAGAACGAUGACAACGGAGACAAUAAGAAGCUGAAAUUGUCUUAACACGUCCAAAACAUACAUUUAAAAAAAGACAAGCUCAGUUUUUUUUCUAAAAACACAAAUGUUGAUGUCACGAUGCUGCUUAUUGAUGUUGUGUUGUCACAGUUUGUGUUUUCUUCCACGUGUGAACAAAAUACAAGCAAAGAAACAUUUAACUUAUUAAAUUACUCUUCAUUCUAAACAUGUGUAAUAUGACAAAUUGUUUCGAAAGAAAACAAAGUUCUGUUUUUGUUGUUUUUUCAAUCAAAUCACAAUAAAUUGAAGGAGCGUUAUGUAGUUUUGUUGAAGAAAUGUUCAUGAGAAGAGAAAGAUCCUCAGACAGAAUCAAACUCUCUUCAUGUCCAUGACUGAAUAGACUGAAUCAACACACUGACCUUAAAUUAGCUUUACUGUGUUUAUAUGUGGUGGACCCUGCCACCUUUCUAGCUUCGACCUUAUUUUCCUGUGAGAGCAGGGGGUUUAUUCACUUAUUAGCUCAUUAUCAUUGUAAAUAUCAAAACUUGAAUUUCUGCUAUAAACUCCACAGAGCUGCUUUAUUCAUAAAUACACUCCAGACAUGAGUAAGGUGAUAAAUUAUUAUUUAAGAAAACACAAAAUAUAAAGAAACAAUGUAGUAAUUUAAAAACAGGACCAGGCUCAGGGCGGAUGUUUGAACACAUCUCAGGAUCUAAAUACAGUUCAUCCAAACAACAAACACCGAGGAAGGAGGUGAGUAAAGACAAAGAAGAAGGAAGGGGGGGAAAGGAGGAAGUUGAUGGGGCAGAAGAACAUGAAACAUUCAUUUACUGAGAUUCAGCACAGUGAUGAGGAGGGAGGAGAGAGGAGGGAAGGAAUGAAGGAAGGAAGGAAAGAGACGAGGAGGGGGGAGGAGGAGGAGUAAAUCAGUGUUGGAGACUCUGACGCGGAAGAAGAAUUAGCCUCGGAGGAGGAAGAAGAAACCCAAAAUGAAAGCUUCCUCUCCGGCUCACUUCACACUUGUUGAAUAACGUUGAGCUCCAGCAGCCCCGCGGAGAUCAACGUCCCCCCGCCGCCGGUCUGCGGAGUGUUUCUACCGGCUGUGGAGCUGCUCGAUGCGGACAGACGAGCCCAUCGUUACUGAAGCAUUUGACUGAAAUUAUCGUCAUUGAUCCGUCUGACAUCAGGCUGCCGCGGACACACUCAGCAUCCAGCUUCACCGGCUCGAUAUUUCAUCUUUUAUUCAUCGAGCUUCCCGAGCGUGCAGCUCCGGAAACACGCCGGAGCGCAGCGCCCUCUCCCUCGCGCGGCGCCGCUGGGUGGCACCGCUGUCUCUGGCGGAGGAGCUCUGAUCUCGGCGUGGUGGACGGUCUCUCCGUGAGAGGACGACGUCGAGAGGCUUGGAUACCGAGCUGCCUCGCCGGGAAACCUACUCUUUGUUAGAGGAAGGUGGAUGCAUCAAUAUUUCAGGAGUUUGAUUUUUAUCUUGUGAGGCGGCAAGGUUCAGGAGACGCGCCGGCCCCAGCGCCCUCUCUGCCGGGCAGCACCGCUGUGUGGCACCGCUGGGUCCGGCCGAUGGGAUGACUCUCCACCGGCGGUUACCGACGUCACAUUUACCAGAAAACUAAUCUCAUUUGGAUCAGAAACUCGUGACCUGGCAGCCUGUUCUGUACUUCUGGACCUGGAUAAUUAGCUUCUGAAGCGGGGGCAGCUCCAGCACUCACACCGAGCUCGGCGCCUGUUCGUCGGGCGGAGCCACUGAGUUCGGCCCGAUGGGAUGCCUCUUCAGUGGGAAUCUUUAGGAGGGAUCCGGACUUCUCUGCGCUAGAGGUUAAACCUGUCGCACCGUGUUCUGUCGGUGUGUGUGUGUGCGUGUGUGUGUGGUCGGGUAGGAGGACAUGGCCGACUCCGGCCGGGGCAGACCGGCGGACCCCGACGCUGCGGACGGCCGGACAUCGAGCCCCCUGACGGUGAAGAAGAGGGCGCAGCAGUCCCCUGGUCUCCGGCCCAAGUACCAGAGCUCCGCACAGGGACACUGCCUCAGGAAAGUGACCCUGACCAAACCCACCUUCUGCCACAGCUGCAGCGACUUCAUCUGGGGGCUAGUGGGCUUCUUGUGUGAAGUGUGUAACUUCAUGUGUCACGAGAAAUGUCUGAAGACGCUGCGCUCGGUUUGCUCCUGCAUGACUCCAUCUUCAGUCCGGGUCCCGGUGGCUCAUUGCUUCGGACCGGCGGGUCAAAAGAAACGUUUCUGCUGCGUCUGUAGGAAGCAAACAGAGGGAAACACGGCACUGCGCUGCGAAGUGUGUGAGCUGCACGUCCAUGCUGACUGUGCUGCGUUCAGCUGUGCAGACUGUCGCAGGACUCACCUGGACUUCACUCUGGAGCAGGAUACGUUUCACCACCACUGGAGGGAGGGCAACCUGGCGUCAGGGGCGAGGUGUGAGGUGUGUCGACGGUCCUGCGGUUCUUCUGACGUCCUGGCUGGGAUGAGGUGUGAGUGGUGCGGCUGCACGAGCCACGCAGCGUGUUACCUCAGCGUGCCACCAGAGUGCACUCUGGGACGUCUGCGCUGCAUGCUGCUGCAUCCGGCCUGCAUCCGCCUUGACUUCAGAAACUUCAGCAAGAUGCACUGCUACCGCAUCACGGAGAGCUGCAGCCACGAGCUGGAUAACUCAGAUGAUGUCGAUCCAUCUGCUGCUGUGUCUAAAGACGGUCAGCCGGCUGCUCCAGAGUCAGGGAAACAGUUUCUUAAGGUGUUUGAUGGCGAUGAUGCGAUCAAGCGCGGCUUCUUCCGAUUGGUCUCCAUCCUUCGAGCCACGAGGAAUGAGGAAGUGGUGGAGGCGGCACUGAGGGCCUUCUACCUCCCUGAUGAACCUCAGAACUUCGAGCUGCACGAGAUUGGCGGCCUGCAGCAUCUCCAUAGCGACGACAUUCUCAACCGUAACGGUGGUCCGGACAACAAGAGCUCCCUGAAGGACGGAGGGGACGCCUGGCUGCUGAGGGCCAAACCACGAGACGCUGAGGUCAUUAAGGUGUACGCAGGCUGGCCCAGGUCGGGCGCAGCUUUUGUCUCUGUGUCCGUGUCUCAGAGCAGCUCGGCAGCCUCUGUCCUCACUGAGGUCCUCAGUCAGCUGGACAGACAGGAGGAAGAUGUGUCCAGUUUCAGCCUGCUGGAGGUUUGCAUGAACAGCAAGCAAGUCCAGAGACAGACGCUGACUCCUCAGGAGAAGAUUCUGGAGAAGCUGCAGGAGAUCAGGAAGGUGUCUCUGCGUCAGAUGAACCAGACUCGGUUCUACAUCGUGGAGAACAGGAACUGGGCGCUGCAGGUCCGCCUGCUGAUUGGAGGACUGCCCCCCCUGCUGACGAAAGAGGAGUACGUCCAACUGAUCGAGGAACACCUGACCAUCAAGAGUCACCUGGUCACCGUCAGCCACAUCUACACCAGUCAAGGUGCGGUGGCGUUGCAAGUCUCAUGUUUCUCUGAAGCAGAGAGGAUCUACAUGUUGGCUAAAGACACAGCGGUCAACAACAAGACGCUCACUUCACUCGUCAUCCCAGAGAUCCAGGUCAACAAGCUUGCUGCAGACGUCUGUCCUCUUCUGGUGUUCGUCAACCCAAAGAGCGGCGGUCUGAAAGGCAGAGAGCUUCUGUACAGCUUCAGGAAACUUCUGAACCCCCACCAGGUCUUUGACAUCUCCAACGGAGGACCGCUGGCUGGCCUCCACACAUUUCAGGAGGUUCCCCAUUUCCGGGUGCUGGUCUGUGGCGGAGAUGGGACGGUGGGCUGGGUUCUGGGAGUACUGGAGGCUGUCCGGCACAAACUGGUGUGUCGAGAGCCGCCGAUCGGCAUCGUUCCGCUGGGAACAGGUAAUGACUUGGCUCGUAUCCUGCGCUGGGGAGCGGGUUACAGCAGCGAGGACCCGCACCACAUACUGGUCUCCUUGGAUGAGGCCGACGAGGUUCUGAUGGACCGGUGGACCAUCCUGCUGGACGCUCAGGACAUCUCUGAAGAUGGCAAGGACAACGGCUUCCUAGAGCCUCCCAAGAUUGUGCAGAUGAACAACUACUUCGGUCUCGGGAUCGACGCAGAGCUCAGCCUGGACUUCCACCAGGCCAGAGAGGACGAACCGGAUAAAUUCACCAGCAGGUUCCAUAACAAAGGCGUGUACGUGAAGGUCGGCCUGCAGAAGAUCAGCUACACCAGGAGUCUCCACAAAGAGCUGCAGCUUCAGGUGGACGCUCAGAACGUCCCGCUACCCAACAUAGAGGGACUGAUCUUCCUCAACAUACCCAGCUGGGGUUCUGGUGCAGAUCUCUGGGGGUCUGAAGUCGACGGUCGCUAUGGGAAACCAAGCAUCGAUGACGGGCUGCUGGAGGUGGUUGGGGUCACCGGGGUCGUCCACAUGGGCCAGGUGCAGAGUGGUAUGCGGUCAGGGAUUCGUAUUGCUCAAGGGAACUACAUCAGGCUGACGGUCAGUAAACCCAUACCUGUCCAAGUGGACGGAGAGCCGUGGAUCCAACCGCCGGGACACAUCAUCAUCUCUGCUGCUGGACCAAAGGUUCGGAUGUUGAGGAAGUCAAAGCAGAAGCAGAAGAAGUCUUCAGCAGUGAAGGACGGACGUUCAGAGAGUCCUUCAUCCAGAGAUGGAGGACACUAACCGCCACCACUGAGACUCAGUGACCUGCCCUUUACCUGCUUCCUGCUGAAACUGGGAGCCAUUUUGGUGCGAGCAACCAGCUGGGAUUUCACUCAUGCAGCUUUGUAGCGACGCUGAUGGGCCACCGAUCGACUGGGAGACUGACAGCGGUUUACCUGUCACCCUCUGCACACGGUGGGAGGAGUUAGUUUGGCCCAGCUGGGAUGUCAUAUCCAUCCUGCUGACUAAAUACGUACAGAAUUCACCAUAAGCAGAGUCCAUGUUCAGCAGCUAAAAGUGACUGUUUUUACGUAAAGAGCAAAAGUAACAAGUAAUUAAUAGACUCACUUCUUCUUCUACAUAGAUUAAUAAAGAGUUAUUAUGGAAUUUUGACAAUUUCUCAGUAUGGAUAAGCUUCAGAGUUGAAAAAAAAAUCUAUAGAAGUAUUUAACAUAAGUUGUAACAUUUCAUGUGACUGUAUUUGUACCACUGACAUUUGUUGACUCAGUGUCAGUGGAUAUGGUGUAAUAUCUGUAGUCGUGAAAAAUAAUGUGCAGCUAUAGAGUGAAUAUGACCUCAGUGUGUUCAGAUGGAGAAUAUGAAGUAGUGAAUACUGAAGCACUCCUUAGAAACAGACAGACGGUUUCUGUAAGAAACUGUGAACAUGUUAUGUUUAUCUGAUCCAGGACUCUGUGGGCACUGAGCUUUCUUACUCUGUGAAAUCCUUCAGUGACAGUGGUCUAAAAUAACACCCUGCAAUGAAGCUAAUGAGAAUCCCCGACCUUGAAACCACAGUGCCCACUGGAACUGGAAGGUUCACGCCAGUCAGGGAAGUGAUAAAGCCUAAAGCACAGUUUGUAUUCUAGCAGAUGGAAAGUGUAGUAAACUGUAAACGGGAUGCUUGAAUCCUGCUGUCAGUGUUUGUUUUUGUACAAAACAUAAUCUCUUUAUAUUAGCAUAGCAUAUGGCAAAGUAAAAGUGGCCAAGUUAGCAGCCUUCGCUCAACAAGUUUGGAUCAGCAUGAGAAGAACAGCUGACCUUAACAUAAGCUGUAAAGUGCUGAAGCAGUUAACAGAUCAUCAAAAAUGCUAAAAGAUACUGUUGGAUUUAGCAAAAACUAGCUUGUUUAAUUAGCAUUAAUACGUUGGCUUAAAUUACGUUGAGCCUGUACUUCGAGCCUGUACCGAUCAUCGGUCACACAAUCGAAUCUACUUGUCCAAAUUUUUCCAGUAUGACCUUAACUUGAAAGGAAGACGGCGUUGUUGAAGAUGACGCGAGCUUUACAGUGUUUAUAGGUCAUGCUAACAUGCAGCAUCUGUGAUGUCUGUCAGACUUUCUCUCUUGUCUGUCUGACUGCAGUUGGCCUGUUGAGUCUUUACUACAUUGUAUAGCUGAGUUUAUGAAGACAUAUAGCUGAGAGGCAGCAGUGACAGAAAUGUAAGAGAAGCAAAUCCAGAAUUUAAAACAGACAAAUCUCUGCUUCUUCUGUCUUCUGUUGUUGGUAAAAUCCCAUUUUCCUCCCCCCCAAAAAAAACAACACAACAGAAGCCAAGGCAGCACGGGACGCUAGCUAGAAAACUAACAUACAGUAUAACUAGCUGCAUUAAAGUGCCAGCGUUAGAGUGCAAGGUGAUUAGCUAGUUUACUGGAAAGCUAGCUGGCUUGCUCACACGCCAAAACUCAACUGCCUCUAAAGCUAGCAGCAUCACUAGCUUUUUAAGUACAAAUUUAAAACACAACUCUUAUCAUUUUAGGUGGAUCAAACAGGAACUGAAUAUAUAAAUGUGCUUUAAAUGUGGCUCUAUCAUUAUAUAUGGCACCAGAUACUAGCUAGAAAACUACCAUAUCACUAGCUGCAUUACAGUGCCAUUACUAGCAUUCUGGAUAGUUUCUAGCUGCAAGCUUUACGCUGUGACCAAUAACAAGCUAGAAACUAUCCAGAAAACUAGCUGGGUUAGCCUACUAGCUUUGAUAGUUGCUAUAAGCUAGCUGACAGAAACAAAACUUUUUCAGGGCAAACACAAAUUGACGGUAUAAAUGUACUGUGUAACGUGGGAACAAAAUGUGAUAAUAUGAUUGUGCUGCUGAAAUUACAAGUACAAAAUCACUCAAAGCAUUACUUGCUUGGUAAGCUAGCUAGGUAUUUUGUUAGCAAGCUGGAUGCCCAAGCAGCUGUUGUCGUUACAAGCUAAAGCACUUGGUAUGUACGUAAGCUAGCUUGCCAAUUAAUUUGUGGCAAGAAAUUAAGCAAUUUAUUGGUAUUAAUGAUUUGGCUAGCGAGAUAAAAAUCAAACACAUUUGCCAUCAGUUAUUUUGGAGCGAUUUAUCAAAAAUUAUCCAGCUACAAAUUAUUUUAUUUUGGUUUCAUUUAUUGGUCACAGCUUAAAGUUGUAAAAGAGAGAGGCUGCAUGUUAUAUUUUGGAGCCUUCAGUAUUAGAAAUCAUUAUUACUAUCAAUUUAAUUGACUUGGGUAUGAAAUACUUGUGACAUGGAAUCCAAACCCUCCGUCUCUGUUAUGCCUCUCGUAUUGAAGUCUGCCCAUUAGUCCUGAAGGAAACUUUACAAAGAUGAGACUCAGCUGCCAAUUUAUACUCAAGAAAGAUAGAGGAUUUAAUGAACUUCGUCCACAUUCCCAGAGAUUCAGAAUAUACAUAAACAGUUUCUGCAGCAGACGAGGGACCUGAAGGUCUCAGCUCCUCAUGUAGCCACCGUGGUAUUGAAUCACUGAACCUCAGUUGUGAUAUUUAGACUUUUUUUUUAAUCUGAGAUCCACAUUAAAUGAUUUAUUUUGAUGUUUUUGGUGCUAGAAGGUGUUAAUACUUUUUAGUUCUAUGUUUGACUUGAAAUUCAAAGGUUCUGUUUUUAUUCAAGCCUCAAACUAUAGUUGAUCUGAACUCUGUAGCAUUUUAUUGGAGAGUUAUUCUUCUGCAGAAUGAACAGAUCUGAGACUGAGUGCUGACACAUCAGUGGCAUUAAUUGUAAUUUUGGAUUGACUGGAGUUGAACAGCUUCAUCGGUCAGAAUGAAGUGUUCUACAGUCUGCUGUGUCCUGACAGUAGCUGUGAGUAUUUAACCUGUACACAUACUGUCCCAGUGUUUUCAUACAUGCAUUAAGUACUGUAGUUCUAAAGGUUGCUACAGCAGCAUUUCAUCUCUUCUCUGUUCCUACUAAUGCUUUCGUCUGUCGCUGUUAAGAACCAUAAUAAACUGGACACCUCAGUUUACUGCUGAUCGUAUAACAAAGUAUUCUCAUUGGAUUCAGAUCAUUUCUGUGAAAAUCAUCUUGCAGAAUUGAAAACUAGCUGCAGGGAGACGUUCAAAUGUCCUCCUUGGUGAUGCAUUCAAGAUCCUUUAACAUCUAAUAACUGACCUUGUGUCAAGCUGUAAGUAUUGUGACACACAAUACUCACAGUAACAGUUAUUUUGUCAGUAAUAGUCCCAAAACCGUUCUUGUAUGUUGAAACACCAGUGUGCAAUUUUUAACACAUAUAUUAUACACAUAUACACACACACACACAUAUACGUGUGUGUGUGUGUGUGUGUGGGUGUGUGUGUGUGUGUGUGUGUGUGUGUGUGUGUGUGUGUGUGUGUGUGU